AUGAAUUACUGUUACAGAAUAACAAUCCAACCAAAUGUAACACCAAAUUCCUUUACAUAUCCUAGAAUUAGACCCAACUCCGUAAAACUCCAGAUCCAAAACUAUGGUUCUAGUUCAUUGCUCAAAAUAAAAGCUUCAAUUAACAACAACAACAAUAACUUUGUUUCAUCUAAAUCUGAAUUAACUUUGUAUGAAGUUUUGGGUAUAUCUGAAUCCGUAAGUGAAGAAAAGAAUGAAUGGAAACGUCAGUGGGAAUCUCAACUGGCGGAGUUGGGAAAAAAGAGUUAUGGCAAGAAGGAUAGAGGAUAUAUGACUUGGGGUGCUCAAGUGCGUCAACAUAGUACUCAUUAG